AGAGAUUUUGAUUUUCUAAGAUUUGGUGAAAAUCCAUUACAUGUAA
rnacentral:tRNA from 1 species